AGACAAGACCCCUCCACGAGGAGCAGCGAAGCCACCUCAUCAUCUCCGAAAGGUGGCGAGCGGCAACGCAGCGCCUUCCGCUUCCUCUUCCCAGUUGCUUCCUAACGCCCAGGAUAGAAGUUGUUGGAGGGAAACAGUGCAAAGAGAAAGAGGAAGACAUCAAGCAUCUUUUAGCUCCAAUAUAUCUACAAGUGUAAUUACCAUGGAGGAAGUUUUGCACAGGAAAAAUGAUAACAGUCAAAUGGAACAAAGAGUCGGUUCCACUCAAUCUGAACUUCAUGUGAAGGAUGGGUCUAACGAUGUCCAUACCUCUGCAGGAAAUUCCAUUCCUUUUAACACGAAGGAUAAUAAAGAAGGGGAAGAUGCAACACGGGGUACACGCUUAGUGGAUAUUGAAACUUCCGGGGACGUGAAUAUGGAAGCAUCGAUAAGUCCAGAUGAUGUUGCUUGCGCUGGAGGUCUUGGAGCAAGAGAUGACAUAAGUAGCUUUCUCCCAGUAGCAAGUGAUUCUACAGAGUUUGAAGGAGCCUUACUCGAGGCCCAAGAUUAUGAAGGACCACAAGGGGAUGUAUCAAGACCAGGUCUGGGCUGGACUGAAGGUACACAUUAAAAGCUCAAAAAAUAGAGUAGCUAUACUGGCAUGUGAUAAGUAACUGGUGAUAAAGUUUCUUUGAUCCCCAUUUUGUUCUUAUGUUUUCUUGUUUCUUUAGUGAGCUUUUGUAUUUACAUGUGGCACUUUGGUUAUCUUAAGAAGGAUUACUUGAAAUGCACCUCAUUACGGAAUUCCAUAGUCUUGAUCCGCCUUUUCGUUUGGUCCAACCAUUAAUUGUUCUGGGAACAAGACAAUAGCAAUAGCAUCUUUAGAUAUUACUGCUUACCACUGAAAAAAAAAAAAAAAAAAAGAAACUGAGUCUGCUAGUCAUUUUACACUUGCCAUCGAGCCUGAGCGAGUGAGCUAAAUUGAUAUAUCUGAAUUUACAUUCUUUUAAUACGAGUCUGGAAGAUGCUCCCAGUGUUCACUUUACGUGACUUGUACACGGGCCACUGUCCUUUUGGCGCUUGUCCUUGGGAAGAUUCUCUGUCCUGGAGCAAGAAUAGCCAGAGGGUCAUACUCCAAUUUCCUCUGGACAAACACUUCCCACUGAGGGCCGAAGUGACUUUGCCAUUCUUCUUGGGUGCUAUAAUGGGAAAGGUAUUGCUUUACUUCAGGAAGCAUUGUGGAGCAGAAACUUUUGAUCCUCUCAUUCUGGGCUAAAAUGCGUUCUAGGCUUUCCGUUCCUGAAGCUGAUGGCAUUGCAGACGGCAGGAAUGCCACCAUGUAGAAGAUAUCUUCAUCUGGGGUGACCAAGAAGGUUUUGUUGUUCCAUCUGUAAGACAGAGAAAAGAGGCAGAUUUAAGAUCUUGAUACUCGAGAAGAAAUAGUAGUAGUGUUUGGAAUUUUCAUAUGGUUACUUUGACUUGUUCAAUGGGUAGAUGAGGAUAGGGCCAUUGCUGUUGUCUGUCAGAAUAUUGCCAAAGACUUCUUUAGCGAAGUCACCAAUCUUCCUUUUUGGAACAAGAAGAUUGAGCCAUGGAUGUGGAACAUCCCAUAAUCCUUUUGCUCGGAGUUUCAUCUCGGACAGGUGCACUCUGUCCAGGAAUUCCACGAGAGAAACCUCCGACAUGACCAGCGUCGAACGUAUAUAACCCAGUUCAGAAAGCAGCUCAUUGACUCUCUGCAUCACAAUUUGACAGGAUUAGAAUAUUUCAUUCCAGGAACUAACAGUUGCUUGGCAUACAAGUAAUAUACCAAGCAUUGUGGUGGGUUCCUACCUUGCUGAUUACAUUGGAUUCGUGGGGAUUGAAGUACAGUGCCACCUCAAGACAAUAUAGGACUUUCCCUUCGGAUUUGAACAGGCUGGCUUGAAGUGGAUCACUUGGUGUGAAGGAAGAUCUCCAUUUAUGCAGGAUGCCUGUUUUGUUGAUAUUGACAAAUCCUUCAAUGUAGUCAAAGGUAAUCUUGCGAGAUAUGAGAUGCUCUUGAUCCCUGGAGAACAUGGAGAAGUCAUGGUAGAGCAUUCUAAUCCACUUAACCUGCAAAAUUCGGCAGAUCAUCUACUGAAUUAGGAUCACAUAAUUGAAGACUUGAGAGGGGAACAAGACACAUUUCUUACCCUUUCUGGUGCGGGUCCUAGAGAUAUUUUGGCCCUGGUGAUGAUGCCAAAUUGUCCUAGACCUCCUAAAACGGCAUGGAAGAGAUCAGCGUUUUGCUUCCCCGAACAGCUCCCCAGUCCCCCCCAAUUAUUGCGUCUGUGAGGGAAUUUGUGGGUGCUGUGCUUUUUCAGGGCAGUGGGGGUCAACUUUUGAUGGUAAUGAUUUUGACUUUUGCAUCUUACUACAUACAUUAUUGCUUUUGUGUAGUUGGCCCAUGUUUGGUUCUCCGCAUAAUGUGUGCUCCAUCGAACUUGUCACUUUUACAAACGUUUAGCUGUCAGAUCUCGUAACCCAUUUUAUUGUUUAACGGAAUUGUUUGACAAAUGUACUUAAAUUACUCUAAUAGGUUUUUGAAUAUGAUUUAUCUUGGCUCUAGUCCUCCUGAAAGUCCGCAUAUGUUCAUUCUAAUCUGAUUAUCUGCUGAAGUUUGGUAGGGAGAGACAACAAAAAUUAGUAUAGUACAUGCAGCUGGAAGAGAAGAUUUCCAGACGGACUUCCUUGUCUGCCCGAUGACGAAUAUGUUCUCCAAGUAAUAAUUGACGGACGUUUUGUAUGUUAUGAAAGUUUCAAAGGAGAGACGCGUAUCAAAAUAUCCAAUUAGUAUAGGUCUUGUCCGUUCUAGCUUGUCGCCGCCGAGAGUGAUGGCCUGAGGGGUGGAAUUCCGAGUGUAAUAUGGAGUGAACUGUGUUUAGGAUGAAAAGAUUGAAUGAUUCAUAUGCGCGGGCAUAAUGGGAUGGAGGGAAGAGAAAAGCUCCGGACGAGUUCCAGACAAGAUUCCCUUCACUAAAGCUGGAGAUCUCGUGGCUCUACAUGAUUCAGUGACGUAUUCAAGACCAAACUGAUUAUCCAGUGUACUUGAAGUGUUGACUUUAUCAACCCAUUUGGGUUGCUAAGGUUGGUUAAGGCACUGAGAGAAUUCCAACUUAAGAUCUAGACAUCUAAUGUUGAAAUCUUGUUAACUAUAUGCAAUUUAAGUUAGCAA